GACCGCGUAGCUCAGUUGGCAGCAGAGCAUUGCCAUUGGGCUAGUAUUCCAAAGGUCGUAGGUUCGAUUCCUACCGUGGAUA